GACGAACGCUGGCGGCGUGCUUAACACAUGUAAGUCGGACGGUAAGGCCCUGCUUUUGUUCUUUUUUCAUGUGUUGCACGCGUGUGUGUCACGUGUGUAUCCUCCCCUUUACUUUGGGAUAUCUUCAGUAAACUGGGUCUCUUACCCCAUAUGACCUCCUGCUGCAUGUUUGGUUUUGUAAAGUUUCGCCGGUUCGGGAUGGCCUCGCGGCUUAUCAGCUUGUUGGUGGGGUAGUGGCUUACUAAGUCGUUGACGCGUCGCCGGCCUGGGAGGGUGACAGGCCACAGUGGGACAGAGAUACGGGCAAGACUCAGACGGGAGGAAGCAGUGGGGAAUAGUGCAAAAGGGGCGGAAGCAGGAUGGAGCAACGCCGCGUGCGAGAUGACGGCCGUAGGGUUGGAAACCGCGUUAGACUGUGAAGAAGAGUGAGUGACGGUAAUGGGUAAAGAAGCAACGGCUAACUACGUG
rnacentral:rRNA from 1 species